UACGGGGGGGGGCAAGCGUUGUUCGGAAUUACUGGGCGUAAAGGGCUCGUAGGCGGCCAACUAAGUCAGACGUGAAAUCCCUCGGCUUAACCGGGGAACUGCGUCUGAUACUGGAUGGCUUGAAUCCGGGAGAGGGAUGCAGAAUUCCAGGUGUAGCGGUGAAAUGCGUAGAUAUCUGGAGGAUACCGGUGGCGAAGGCGGCAUCCUGGACCGGCAUUGACUGCUGAUGAGCGAAAGCUAGGGGAGCGAACGAGG
rnacentral:rRNA from 1 species